rnacentral:rRNA from 1 species
CCUACGGGGGGCAGCAGUGGGGAAUAUUGCACAAUGGGGGAAACCCUGAUGCAGCAACGCCGCGUGAAGGAAGACGGUUUUCGGAUUGUAAACUUCUAUCAAUAGGGAAGAAAGAAAUGACGGUACCUAAAUAGGAAGCCCCGGCUAACUAUGUGCCAGCAGCCGCGGUAAUACAUAGGGAGCAAGCGUUAUCCGGAUUUAUUGGGUGUAAAGGGUGCGUAGACGGGAAAUUAAGUUAGUUGUGAAAUCCCUCGGCUUAACUGAGGAACUGCACCUAAAACUGAUUUUCUUGAGUACUGGAGAGG